rnacentral:antisense_RNA from 1 species
UCCAACGGGCGGGCCUUGGCGGGGGAGCCUUAUGGCUCGCCGGGCAAUGGCUCUAUGUGACCGGUCUGCGAAUCCCGUCUUGUGCCCGCUCACCACC